rnacentral:rRNA from 1 species
CCUACGGGAGGCAGCAGUGGGGAAUAUUGCACAAUGGGGGAAACCCUGAUGCAGCGACGCCGCGUGAGUGAAGAAGUAUUUCGGUAUGUAAAGCUCUAUCAGCAGGGAAGAAAAUGACGGUACCUGAUUAAGAAGCCCCGGCUAACGACGUGACAGCAUCGGCUGUUAUCGGUAGGGGGCCAGCGUUAUCCGGAUUUACUGGGUGUGAAGGGAGCGUAGACGGGAGCACAAUGUUGGAGGGAAAUGCCCGGGGUUAACCCCGGAAGUGCUUUUGACACUGUUCAGCUAGAGUGCAGGAGAGGUAAGUGGAAUGCGUAGUGUAGCGGUGAAAUGCGUAGAUAUUAGGAGGAACUCCAGUGGCGAAGGCGGCUUACUGGACUGUAACUGACGUUGAGGCUCGAAAGCGUGGGGAGCGAACAGGAUUAGAUACCCUUGUAGUC